rnacentral:rRNA from 1 species
AUGGCCGCCGCCCUUCCCGACUGGAUGAUGCUCGAGCGAUUCGUGUUCUGCAGGGAGUCCUUGCUGGACAGCGAGGCCGCGCCCUUCAUCAAGGCCGACGGCACCAGCUCCCACGGCGGCAGCUUCUCCGUGGCCUUCCUCGUCCUCCAGCCCCCGGGCAUCUCACGCCUUUACCUGCAGUGGCCCGGCGGCCCAAAGGGCGGCUCUCAGUGCGUUCUCGUAGCGGCACACCGCAAUCUUGUCCUGUUCAGGCUCACCCCAGAUCCUGUAAUCACCCGCAAGGCCCCCUUCGUGGAUUACCGGCAAGACCACUUCAUCUGCGGAGCCCAAUUCUCGCCGUCUCAGCGGUCGCUGCUGCUCCGAAAGAUCCCCAAGUGUGACCAACCUGCGCUGGUGGACUGGAGGGAUGGGGAGAAGGUAACCAUGCCCCGCUCGUUUGAUCUUAACCCCGUUAGCAUCUUGUGCCGAGGAGAUGAAGAAUUUGCCUUGGCGCAGUUGAACCUCCGUAGAUCCAACGAUGAGUGGGGCAAAAUUGAGGCUGAGCUGUGUGUCCUCCGCUCCAAAGUAAGCAAUCGUCUUCACGAGUGGAAGAGUGAGAAGUGGCUGCCAAUCCAGUACGAGGGACAUGAAAGAUCUGAUUUGGACAGUUGGAGAACGGACAGAGUAGUUCCAUUCAACAAGUUUUUGUGUUGGGUUAAUUACGGCGGGGGAGGCAUCUUAUUCUGUGAGGUGUUCAAACAAAAGCCAAACAUUUUUUACCUCCGACUACCUAUAAUUGCGCCUCGUUUACAUCAAUGUUCAUUGAGGUUCCAGGAGGCGAGCCGCGCUGUCGGUGUAACCAAAGGCAGCAUGGGUUGUGAUGAGCUGAGGUUUGUUGAUGUAGUCUGUAAGGAUGGUAACAUUAUUGAUCCACUAGGCUAUGGUGACAAUGAGGGUUUCACGAUCACCUACUACGCUUUGAGGAUAACACAGAGUGGUGGCAUGGAGUGGGAUAUGCUUUUCUUCAUCAGAUGCUAUGAAUUGUGGAGUAUCAACCCUCAACUCCCGCAUGAACUUCUGAAGCAUCCUGUUGUAAGUAUGGAGGACCCAAAUGUGGUAUAUUUUCUGAUGUCGGAGCGUCUGGAACAUGUUGACAAGGUUUCCGUAGUUACUCUUGAUAUGUGUACCAAAAAGCUGCUUUCAAUUCAUCCAUAUAUUAAUGGAAAGGAAGACCUCUUGGGCAAAGACGCUGACAUGGUUCGGCGAAACGCCACUUUUCUCCAAACCUUUCUUCCCUCAGAACUUCCUAAGUUCUUAAAAUCCCACCAGCUCAAGUGA